GGCUCAAUGGUCUAGUCGUAUGAUUCCUGCUUUGGGUUAAGUCUCUAUCCAUGAACUUGGAAAUGCAGGAGGUCCCGGGUUCAAAUCCCGGUUGAGCCC